rnacentral:rRNA from 1 species
UACAGAGGGUGCAAGCGUUAAUCGGAUUUACUGGGCGUAAAGCGCGCGUAGGCGGCUAAUUAAGUCAAAUGUGAAAUCCCCGAGCUUAACUUGGGAAUUGCAUUCGAUACUGGUUAGCUAGAGUGUGGGAGAGGAUGGUAGAAUUCCAGGUGUAGCGGUGAAAAUGCGUAGAGAUCUGGAGGAAUACCGAUGGCGAAGGCAGCCAUCUGGCCUAACACUGACGCUGAGGUGCGAAAGCAUGGGGAGCAAACAGG